CAAGUCGAACGCGAAAGUUCCCUUCGGGGGACAAGUAGAGUGGCGCACGGGUGAGUAACACGUAGGUAAUCUACCUUCGGGUGGGGAAUAACAACCGGAAACGGUUGCUAAUACCGCAUAAUGCAGCGGCACCUAAUGGUGACAGUUGUUAAAGCGGGGGAUCGAAAGAUCUCGCGCCUGAAGAGGAGCCUGCGGCGGAUUAGCUAGUUGGUAGGGUAACGGCCUACCAAGGCGACGAUCCGUAGCCGGCCUGAGAGGGCGGUCGGCCACACUGACACUGACAUACGGGUCAGACUCCUACGGGAGGCAGCAGUCGGGAAUUUUGGGCAAUGGGCGAAAGCCUGACCCAGCAACGCCGCGUGAAGGAUGAAAUCCCUCGGGAUGUAAACUUCGCAAGAACGGGAAGAAUAAGUCUAUGUUAAUACCAUAGGCGAUGACGGUACCGUUUGUAAGCUCCGGCUAACUCCGUGCCAGCAGCCGCGGUAAUACGGGGGGAGCAAGCGUUGUUCGGAUUUACUGGGCGUAAAGGGCGCGUAGGCGGCCACCGCAAGUCAGUUGUGAAAUCUCCGAGCUUAACUCGGAAAGGUCAACUGAUACUGCGGGGCUAGAGUGCGGAAGGGGCAACUGGAAUUCUUGGUGUAGCGGUGAAAUGCGUAGAUAUCAAGAGGAACACCUGCGGCGAAGGCGGGUUGCUGGGCCGACACUGACGCUGAGGCGCGAAAGCUAGGGGAGCGAACGGGAUUAGAUACCCCGGUAGUCCUAGCCUUAAACGAUGAAUGCUUGGUGUCUGGGGUUAUAUAGUCCCCGGGUGCC
rnacentral:rRNA from 1 species